CUUGAUUCCAGCAUUUGAAGCCAUAUCAGUCAUCCUUCGCCCACUUGAAAUUCAACUGGAAUUACACCAGUGUGUCCAGGGUUCCAGAGUGGAACCUGAAGGUGAGGUUUGAACUCCCCAAGGAUUACUAGAAUCUGUGCAUCCAUGAAAAGACCAUGUGUCCAUGAAAAAUGGUUGAUAAAUCUGGUGAUCAUGACAGGACACUAUUAACAAUUAAGGCUGGUUUCAGUGUUUGUGUUUGCAGCAGGACUAAGAAAAGACACCAAGGACAGGAGAUAAUGGAUGGUGCUCGAUGGGAUGGUUUAGUUGAGUCAAAUCCAGUGCUGAUCUGUGGCUUUCCCUGCUGGAAUCAGGCAGGUCAUCAUGGAGUGACCCAAGGCUGCAUUUUUCCUUUGCCUUAAGAGGAAAGCAAUGGAUCAGGGAGCCUUAGGGAAUGUGGCAGAGAGCACUGCUGGAGGCAGGAAUGACACAGGGAGCACCAGGAGGUG